AUCAAUUCACAUAUUCAAAAUAUGCAUAUCUUGAAACCUUAUAGCUUAUACAAAUAGUAAUCAUAGUGAUAAAAUAAGAAGAACAACCUAUGAAUUGAGGGAGAAAAUAUAAACCUAGGACUAGCUGUCUGCGAUGUAGCCAAGUGGAUCAAGUUUGUGGAUUGUGAAUUCACAGUCACAAGUUCAAUCCCUGUUAUUCACCCAUCAAUUAAUGGAUCAUUUGCCAUCGAGACACCAAGAUGGACUUGUUUGGGUUACCCCAAGAUAUUUUAUUACAUCAUCUUUAGUGUAAGAAGCCCACAAUAGGAGAGUCAAAUCAGUCUGCAAUAAUGAAACAGAUGAGGCCCAUCAUUCUUUCCACCAAUGGAGUUGAACACAAUCAACCUUUUUGUAGCAAUCUUGAUCCCAUUUUGUUGAUAUAUUGCCAAGUUUUCAACACUCAUCCAUUUGUAUCAGCACCCA
rnacentral:lncRNA from 1 species